UACGUAGGGUGCAAGCGUUGUCCGGAUUUAUUGGGCGUAAAGAGCUCGUAGGCGGCUUGUCGCGUCGGAUGUGAAAACCCGCAGCUCAACUGCGGGCCUGCAUUCGAUACGGGCUGGCUAGAGUAUGGCAGGGGAGACUGGAAUUCCUGGUGUAGCGGUGGAAUGCGCAGAUAUCAGGAGGAACACCGGUGGCGAAGGCGGGUCUCUGGGCCAUUACUGACGCUGAGGAGCGAAAGCGUGGGGAGCGAACAGG
rnacentral:rRNA from 1 species